rnacentral:rRNA from 1 species
CCAUGGAAACAUGGUCCUCCCGUAAGGGACAUCAGUACAGGUGGUGCAUGGCUGUCGUCAGCUCGUGUCGUGAGAUGUUGGGUUAAGUCCCGCAACGAGCGCAACCCUUAUUCUUAGUUGUUUCCCUUUGGGAUUACCCUCUAAGAAGACUGCCUCGGAUAACGGGGAGGAAGGUGGGGAUGACGUCAAGUCCGCAUGCUCCUUACGUCUAGGGCUACACACGUCCUACAAUGGGGUCGACAAUGGGAUGCAAUAUCGCAAGAUGGAGCCAAUCCCCAAACGGCCUCUCAGUUCGGAUUGUAGUCUGCAACUCGACUACAUGAAGUCGGAAUCGCUAGUAAUCGCGGAUCAGCAUGUCGCGGUGAAUACGUUCCCGGGUCUU